rnacentral:rRNA from 1 species
GAGUAAUGUCUGGGAAACUGCCUGAUGGAGGGGGAUAACUACUGGAAACGGUGGCUAAUACCGCAUAACGUCGCAAGACCAAAGAGGGGGACCUUCGGGCCUCUUGCCAUCAGAUGUGCCCAGAUGGGAUUAGCUUGUUGGUGAGGUAACGGCUCACCAAGGCGACGAUCCCUAGCUGGUCUGAGAGGAUGACCAGCCACACUGGAACUGAGACACGGUCCAGACUCCUACGGGAGGCAGCAGUGGGGAAUAUUGCACAAUGGGCGCAAGCCUGAUGCAGCCAUGCCGCGUGUAUGAAGAAGGCCUUCGGGUUGUAAAGUACUUUCAGCGGGGAGGAAGGUGUUGUGGUUAAUAACCGCAGCAAUUGACGUUACCCGCAGAAGAAGCACCGGCUAACUCCGUGCCAGCAGCCGCGGUAAUACGGAGGGUGCAAGCGUUAAUCGGAAUUACUGGGCGUAAAGCGCACGCAGGCGGUCUGUCAAGUCGGAUGUGAAAUCCCCGGGCUCAACCUGGGAACUGCAUUCGAAACUGGCAGGCUUGAGUCUUGUAGAGGGGGGUAGAAUUCCAGGUGUAGCGGUGAAAUGCGUAGAGAUCUGGAGGAAUACCGGUGGCGAAGGCGGCCCCCUGGACAAAGACUGACGCUCAGGUGCGAAAGCGUGGGGAGCAAACAGGAUUAGAUACCCUGGUAGUCCACGCCGUAAACGAUGUCUACUUGGAGGUUGUGCCCUUGAGGCGUGGCUUCCGGAGCUAACGCGUUAAGUAGACCGCCUGGGGAGUACGGCCGCAAGGUUAAAACUCAAAUGAAUUGACGGGGGCCCGCACAAGCGGUGGAGCAUGUGGUUUAAUUCGAUGCAACGCGAAGAACCUUACCUGGUCUUGACAUCCACAGAAGAAUCCAGAGAUGGAUUUGUGCCUUCGGGAACUGUGAGACAGGUGCUGCAUGGCUGUCGUCAGCUCGUGUUGUGAAAUGUUGGGUUAAGUCCCGCAACGAGCGCAACCCUUAUCCUUUGUUGCCAGCGGUUAGGCCGGGAACUCAAAGGAGACUGCCAGUGAUAAACUGGAGGAAGGUGGGGAUGACGUCAAGUCAUCAUGGCCCUUACGACCAGGGCUACACACGUGCUACAAUGGCGCAUACAAAGAGAAGCGACCUCGCGAGAGCAAGCGGACCUCAUAAAGUGCGUCGUAGUCCGGAUUGGAGUCUGCAACUCGACUCCAUGAAGUCGGAAUCGCUAGUAAUCGUGGAUCAGAAUGCCACGGUGAAUACGUUCCCGGGCCUUGUACACACCGCCCGUCACACCAUGGGAGUGGGUUGCAAAAGAAGUAGGUAGCUUAACCUUCGGGAGGGCGCUUACCACUUUGUGAUUCAUGACUGGGGUGAAGUCGUAACAAGGUAACCGUAGGGGAACCUGCGGUUGGAUCACCUCCUUACCUUAAA